CGCCUCGACCCCCGCGCGGCCCGCCUUGCGCGCGCCCUUGGCGAGGUGGCCGUGGCCGUGGCCGUGCGAGUGGCCGUGGCCCGCGCCCUGGCCCUCGCCGCUGUGAUGGUGGAACAGACAGAGCCCCAGCACGUUGACCAGCAGCCCCGCCACGCCGACGCUCAGCACCACGAGCGGCUGCUGCAUCUCAUGCGGCUCGAUGAAGCGCUCGACGGCUUCCAGCAGGAUGGCGAAGCACAGCCCCGUGAGGAAGAUGGCGUUCACCAGUGCGCCCAUCACCUCAGCGCGGAUCCAGCCGAACGUGUUCUUCUGCGUGGCGUGAGUCCUCCGGGCGAAGCGCUCGGCCACCAGCGCCACUACGAGCGCCAGCACGUCCGACAGCAUGUGGAAGGAGUCGGACAGCAUGGCGAGCGACGCGGUCACCCGGCUCACCACCACCUCCAGCACCAUGAACAUGAAGGAAUAAUGAAAAUGGGGCCCAAGUUCUGCAGUCAUGGCAGGAAGGACAAGGCUGUGAAUUUGUGAGGCAGAAUCUACAAGCAAUGAAUGAGUGGAGAGCCCAUGCAGCUAAGAAAUUUGUUCCAUGCCCCACAGCUUGUGACUGUGGGACUCUGUGGACAUGAAGCCUGGCUUGUAACUUCACACCUUCAUUGGGGUAGCAAGCUGGUCUGAAGCUCAAGACCACAUGAAGCCCUACAGAGUCUGCUCCCUCCUGCUUCCUGUUCCUCUACACCGCUGGCUCUACUACAAAGAAAUGGGGAUUCCCUCAAGAAUCUCAUGCCGAGAGAAGGAAAAAGUGUCCAUCAAAAGAACGUGUCUCCUGGAAAGAGUCUUGCACACAGUUGUGACAACUUAUCAGCCCACAUCACAGGGCUGCGUGAAAUCUCAAGGACAGCACAGUGGUAAGCAGGGUCCCACCUGGACUGGGACUGCAGAUGCCCGGGCCUCCUAUGUAAGUCUUUGUUCUGUUUGUUUUCCGAGACAGAGUCUUUCCAUGUUAUCACUGGAGUACCGGCUGGCUCCUUAAGGCAUGUGUCACUGCACGGUUUAGAUUUUAGUUAUCAUUAGCAGAUCAUAUUUUUUUCUUUGCUUGUUUCAAUAUUUUUUUCUUUUUUAAAAAAGAUUAUAUUUAUUUUUUAUUUUAUACAGAUGUGUUUUAUCCAAAUAUGUGCCUGCAUGCCAGAAGAUACCAUUACAGAUGGUUGUGAGCCACCAUGUGGUUGCUGGGAAUUGAACUGAGGACCUCUGGAAGAGCAGACAGUGCUCUUAACUGCUGAGCCAUCUCUCCAGCCCCCGCAUUGUACUUUGAACUGGCCUUUAAGCCAUGUUCCUCGGAGGGUCAGCAGCCAGCAGCCAGCAACCUCUCCUUGCCGGAGCAGAAUCCUCAACAAAAGCCGCUUAAGGCAGGAAGCAUCUGUUGUGGCGGCAGCUGGAGGGUGCGGUUCAUCCUAGCAGGGAAGACCUGGCAGCAGGAGCUGGAGGCCUUGGGGCCAGGAAACCAAGAGCGUCUUCUCAGUGCUCAGCCUGCUGUCGUCCAGGGCGCCAGCCUGUGAGGUGGCAUCGGUCCACCUUUACCAAGUCUUCUAGAAUCUGUCUCUCAGGCAUGCCUAGAAGUUCGUUUCCAUGGUGAUUCCAAACAUGUUGAGUUGAUGGUCAAGUCAGCCACCACAGAUGUGUUAAUUAUAUUUUACGAUGUUUCCAAUUUACGGUGAGUUUAUUAAGGGUAGGUCAAAGACCCUCCGUAUUCUGAAAUUCAGAAGAUUUGUACCCAGGUUUACCUGUUGUUGGGUUUUCUCCCAUUGGCUUUGGCUUUUGUGCUUCCUCCUUUGUCCUUGAGAUAGGUCCUUGCUGUGCAACCCCAGCUGUUCCAGAACUUGCUAAGUAGACCUGUCUGUCUUUGAAUUUGCUGCAAUCCUCUUGCCUCUGUCUCCUGAGAGCUAGGAUUAUAUAGACACCGUGCUCACUGCGUCUUUGUCUCUUGAAGGAUGUGAAGCAAGUCACGCAGGAAAGAACCAACUCUCCAAAGUUAUCCUCUGAUGUACAUACAUACGUAAACACACACACACACACACACACACACACACACACACACACACACACACACACACACACACACACACACACACACACAAAACAUAAUCCAAAGCCAAACACCUUGAUAUGCAUCUCAGAAAAAUAGGGCUAUUCUGAUACAUAGCCAUAGUACAUUUUUGCCUGCUUUAUAAGUUAGGAUGUCAUUGUCUGUAAACCCAGUGGCUCUAACAUCAUCUUAGCACUGCCCCCUCCAAGGCGAUUACCUGCCUCUCCCCUCAUUUUGCUUAGAGCAUUUCCAUAGCCCCCCUUUUUGUUCUUUAUAAUGUUGACAUAUUCUUAAGAAUAUAGUUCUUCUCAUGUUUUGGGGGGAGGCAAGCAGUAACAUCAUUAGCUUGAGGCUGGAGUGGGCUAAAAGCAUGUUCCAGAAGCACCUUCCAGGCCCACAUCAGCUACAUAGUAAGAGCCUGUCUCAGGAAGCCAAGGUUGGAGUAGGGCUCAGCCGUGUUGCACUUGCCUCUCACACACAGGCCUCAGAUUGAUCCCCAACACCACAAGAUCAAAUAAAAGCCCAUCUGCUCCGUCUGAUGCUUUGUUCUCUCCGUUGGGAUAUUGCGGAAGUGGAGUCCUGUCCUGUUUCUGGGGGCAUCUGACCUGGGAGCAAGUGACAUCCACCUGUCCCUUCCCAGAAGCGCAUCCUUUAAUCUCUCUCUCCACCCAUUCCACACUCGCCCAGCUCCUUUACCAUAUAAUUAUUUUCUUUCCUUUGAACUGAGAAGCCGUCUCUGGGUAGGUACUGUUAAGACUACGAAAAUGUAUUAUCCACCAACAUUUCCUCUCACACUCGGUGUGGGAAAUGAGCCCCACCCGGCUCCAUCUUCACGUUCUUGCGCUGCCUGCCUCAGUGUUUGCCAGUGUCCUGGAAGCAGGAGCUCACCACACCCCCACUAGUUUAUUUCUUGGUCUCAGUGGUUUACAGUUCAUCUCUGCUUAUUUGGGGCCUGUGGUUGCUGAUUUCAUGAAUGUUUCUGGAUUUUUGACUGAAUGAUGCAACUGAGGCGUUUGUGGUGAUUCUGUCCACCCCAGCGCGGCCAGAGAACCCGCAACAACAGCUCGAAGGACUUCGGAAAGAUGACAUUGAUUCUGGCUUUCCUGUUUGUAACCAAUGGGUUGUGGGUAGGCUGUGCAAGCUUCAGUUUCCCCGACGGUGUCGGUGUGAGAAUACUGGAGUUUACCAUCCAGACUGAACAAGAUAACGUUUGUGUUUCGGAGGAUGACUGAUACACCAGUACCUCACAGGUUCUGUUCCUAGUGUGAUAUGGUUCAUGCAUGAACCAGGUCAUCUCUGCUGUUGUUGCAGCUCCCUAUUGCUCACAGCCACCAUUGAAAAGUACCCCCAAACUCACUCAGGUCUGCCCCUUUCCUACAGCUGGGUUAAUCCAGAGAUAACUAGCCUGGCUGCUUUUUUUCAGAGAGCAUGGGUAUGAAAUAGAGAGGCAAAUGGCUCACUCCUGGCUACCCAGGAGGGGUGCCUCAUUUCUGGAAACACACCUAGUCCAGCGAGUGCAUUCUCUGUCGCCAUCAAGGGCUGCUUACACUCCUCUCUUCUUUUCCUGGUGACGGGUGUUACUCUGAGGCGCUCGCGCUCGCUCGCUCGCAGUGGGAGAACGUUCUCUGCGUGACUCAUCCUCAUUCCAGGAUAACGUGCUCUACUUUCGUUCUCUGCCUCCCACUCAGUUUCACAUCCCUCUUCGGAGCCUCCGGACCCUCUGUGCCCCAUCUGCCUCCCACGCCCAUCCCCGCCCUCUUCUGCUUUGGUCCUUGCUCCAGACUGCUGCGCCAUCCUCAGAUUCUACUGCCUGCACUGGGAGGAGUCAGGUUUAUGGCAGAGCAUGUGUGUUGCUGAGAAGCCUCUCUGAUUCACGUUGGAUAUAGCACGAAGGUGUACAAGGAGAAGUGUCUGUCUGUGUGUCCAGCAUCCUGCAAAGGCCCAAGCACCGCAGCAAAGCAAAGAGCUCCAGGCACCCCAGUUUCAUUUCAUUUCCUCCAAAGCCCCUGGGAAUUCUGAGCUCCUGGGGUUGCUGGUGAGCAGAAUCAGACUGGGAAAAGCCAUGCCAGGGGCUCAGCCUAGGGAUGUGAUCGUUGUGCCAAGAUCUCCAGUUUCGUGUUUUGUUUCUUCUGAAACACGCUCUGACCUGUAUAAUUUGAUGUUACUCACAUCUAAAUGCUAAUAAAACAACUGAAAUAUUUGCAGAUGA
ensembl:antisense 1700034H15Rik RIKEN cDNA 1700034H15 gene